rnacentral:rRNA from 1 species
CACGUAGGGUGCGAGCGUUGUCCGGAAUUAUUGGGCGUAAAGAGCUCGUAGGCGGUGUGUCGCGUCGGCCCGUGAAAGUCCGGGGCUCAACUCCGGAUCUGCGGUGGGUACGGGCAGACUAGAGUGAUGUAGGGGAGACUGGAAUUCCUGGUGUAGCGGUGAAAUGCGCAGAUAUCAGGAGGAACACCGAUGGCGAAGGCAGCUCGCUGGGACGGUACUGACGCUAAGGCGCGAAAGCGUGGGGAGCGAACAGG